UGCAGUCGAGCGAACAGACGAGGAGCUUGCUCCUCUGACGUUAGCGGCGGACGGGUGAGUAACACGUGGAUAACCUACCUAUAAGACUGGGAUAACUUCGGGAAACCGGAGCUAAUACCGGAUAAUAUAUUGAACCGCAUGGUUCAAUAGUGAAAGACGGUUUUGCUGUCACUUAUAGAUGGAUCCGCGCCGCAUUAGCUAGUUGGUAAGGUAACGGCUUACCAAGGCAACGAUGCGUAGCCGACCUGAGAGGGUGAUCGGCCACACUGGAACUGAGACACGGUCCAGACUCCUACGGGAGGCAGCAGUAGGGAAUCUUCCGCAAUGGGCGAAAGCCUGACGGAGCAACGCCGCGUGAGUGAUGAAGGUCUUCGGAUCGUAAAACUCUGUUAUUAGGGAAGAACAAAUGUGUAAGUAACUAUGCACGUCUUGACGGUACCUAAUCAGAAAGCCACGGCUAACUACGUGCCAGCAGCCGCGGUAAUACGUAGGUGGCAAGCGUUAUCCGGAAUUAUUGGGCGUAAAGCGCGCGUAGGCGGUUUUUUAAGUCUGAUGUGAAAGCCCACGGCUCAACCGUGGAGGGUCAUUGGAAACUGGAAAACUUGAGUGCAGAAGAGGAAAGUGGAAUUCCAUGUGUAGCGGUGAAAUGCGCAGAGAUAUGGAGGAACACCAGUGGCGAAGGCGACUUUCUGGUCUGUAACUGACGCUGAUGUGCGAAAGCGUGGGGAUCAAACAGGAUUAGAUACCCUGGUAGUCCACGCCGUAAACGAUGAGUGCUAAGUGUUAGGGGGUUUCCGCCCCUUAGUGCUGCAGCUAACGCAUUAAGCACUCCGCCUGGGGAGUACGACCGCAAGGUUGAAACUCAAAGGAAUUGACGGGGACCCGCACAAGCGGUGGAGCAUGUGGUUUAAUUCGAAGCAACGCGAAGAACCUUACCAAAUCUUGACAUCCUCUGACCCCUCUAGAGAUAGAGUUUUCCCCUUCGGGGGACAGAGUGACAGGUGGUGCAUGGUUGUCGUCAGCUCGUGUCGUGAGAUGUUGGGUUAAGUCCCGCAACGAGCGCAACCCUUAAGCUUAGUUGCCAUCAUUAAGUUGGGCACUCUAAGUUGACUGCCGGUGACAAACCGGAGGAAGGUGGGGAUGACGUCAAAUCAUCAUGCCCCUUAUGAUUUGGGCUACACACGUGCUACAAUGGACAAUACAAAGGGCAGCGAAACCGCGAGGUCAAGCAAAUCCCAUAAAGUUGUUCUCAGUUCGGAUUGUAGUCUGCAACUCGACUAUAUGAAGCUGGAAUCGCUAGUAAUC
rnacentral:rRNA from 1 species